ACUCUCCCUAAAGGCUUCAAC
rnacentral:miRNA from 1 species